UGGUGCGGGGGUGAAGUGCAAUGUUGUGACCUGAACGAACAAUAUUGCACUUGUCCCGGCCUCC
rnacentral:pre_miRNA from 1 species